rnacentral:rRNA from 1 species
AAAUUUGAAAUCUGGCGUCUUCGACGUCCGAGUUGUAAUUUGUAGAGGAUGCUUCUGAGUAACCACCGACCUAAGUUCCUUGGAACAGGACGUCAUAGAGGGUGAGAAUCCCGUAUGCGGUCGGAAAGGUGCUCUACACGUAGCUCCUUCGACGAGUCGAGUUGUUUGGGAAUGCAGCUCUAAAUGGGAGGUAAAUUUCUUCUAAAGCUAAAUAUUGGCCAGAGACCGAUAGCGCACAAGUAGAGUGAUCGAAAGAUGAAAAGCACUUUGGAAAGAGAGUUAAAAAGCACGUGAAAUUGUUAAAAGGGAAGGGAUUGCAACCAGACUUGCUCGCGGUGUUCCGCCGGUCUUCUGACCGGUCUACUCGCCGCGUUGCAGGCCAGCAUCGUCUGGUGCCGCUGGAUAAGACUUGAGGAAUGUAGCUCCCUCGGGAGUGUUAUAGCCUCUUGUGAUGCAGCGAGCGCCGGGCGAGGUCCGCGCUUCGGCUAGGAUGCUGGCGUAAUGGUCGUAAUCCGCCCGUCUUG